rnacentral:antisense_RNA from 1 species
CUGCGACUUGAGGCGGUGGCAGUACCCACA